rnacentral:rRNA from 1 species
AUUGAACGCUGGCGGCAUGCCUUACACAUGCAAGUCGAACGGCAGCACGGACUUCGGUCUGGUGGCGAGUGGCGAACGGGUGAGUAAUGUAUCGGAACGUACCUUUCAGUGGGGGAUAACGUAGCGAAAGUUACGCUAAUACCGCAUAUUCUGUGAGCAGGAAAGCAGGGGAUCGCAAGACCUUGCGCUGAUUGAGCGGCCGAUAUCAGAUUAGCUGGUUGGUGAGGUAAAGGCUCACCAAGGCGACGAUCUGUAGCGGGUCUGAGAGGAUGAUCCGCCACACUGGAACUGAGACACGGUCCAGACUCCUACGGGAGGCAGCAGUGGGGAAUUUUGGACAAUGGGGGCAACCCUGAUCCAGCCAUGCCGCGUGAGUGAAGAAGGCCUUCGGGUUGUAAAGCUCUUUCGGCCGGGAAGAAAUCGCAUGGGUUAAUACCCUGUGCGGAUGACGGUACCGGCAUAAGAAGCACCGGCUAACUACGUGCCAGCAGCCGCGGUAAUACGUAGGGUGCGAGCGUUAAUCGGAAUUACUGGGCGUAAAGCGUGCGCAGGCGGUUUUUUAAGACAGGCGUGAAAUCCCCGGGCUCAACCUGGGAACUGCGCUUGUGACUGGAAGGCUAGAGUAUGGCAGAGGGGGGUGGAAUUCCACGUGUAGCAGUGAAAUGCGUAGAGAUGUGGAGGAACACCAAUGGCGAAGGCAGCCCCCUGGGCCAAUACUGACGCUCAUGCACGAAAGCGUGGGUAGCAAACAGGAUUAGAUACCCUGGUAGUCCACGCCCUAAACGAUGUCAACUAGGUGUUGGGUGGGUAAAACCAUUUAGUACCGGAGCUAACGCGUGA